GUCCCUAUCGUCUAGAGGCCUAGGACAUCGCCCUUUCACGGCGGUAACCGGGGUUCGAAUCCCCGUAG
rnacentral:tRNA from 1 species